AGUGAGUGAGUUAUGAAGUGCCUCGUGUUCUUUGUUGCUGCAGUUUUGGUGGCAUCUCAAUGCCAUGGCGCUUCCUUCCGAAGCUUCCCUCUGAGCAUGACAACUGGUUAUGGCGACGGUGCUAGUGACACGGAGGUACGAUGCGCCAGUUGGAGGCUUGCGGUGGAAGCACAGAACAUCUUCGGCUUUGAAACCAUUCCUCAACAGUGCGUAGACGCUACAGCCAACUACAUCGAAGGAGGACAAUACAGAUCAGACUCCAAAACAGUUAACCAACAGAUUUACUUUUUCGCUAGAGAUCGCCAUGUCCAUGAGAACGAUGUCAUUCUGUUCAACAUAGAUGGAACUGCACUCUCCAAUAUCCCAUACUAUUCUCAAC
rnacentral:lncRNA from 1 species